rnacentral:rRNA from 1 species
UACAGAGGUCUCAAGCGUUGUUCGGAUUCAUUGGGCGUAAAGGGUGCGUAGGCGGCGCGGUAAGUCGGGUGUGAAAUCUCGGAGCUUAACUCCGAAACUGCAUUCGAUACUGCCGUGCUUGAGGACUGGAGAGGAGACUGGAAUUUACGGUGUAGCGGUGAAAUGCGUAGAUAUCGUAAGGAAGACCAGUGGCGAAGGCGGGUCUCUGGACAGUUCCUGACGCUGAGGCACGAAGGUCAGGGCAGCAAACGGG